GAUUCUGGCUCAGAUUGAACGCUGGCGGCAGGCUUAACACAUGCAAGUCGAGCGGUAGCACAGGGGAGCUUGCUCCCCGGGUGACGAGCGGCGGACGGGUGAGUAAUGUCUGGGAAACUGCCUGAUGGAGGGGGAUAACUACUGGAAACGGUAGCUAAUACCGCAUAACGUCGGAGGACCAAAGAGGGGGACCUUCGGGCCUCUUGGCGUGGGAGUGGCCGAGGUGGGAUUAACUAGUAGGGGGGGGGGAUGGACUGGUGGGGAUGGAUACUUGGGGGGGAGGGGAGAGGGAGGGGGCGCAGGGAGGGGGGGAGGGGCGGCGAGGGUCAGGGGUAGGGGGGGGAGGGGGGAGGAGGAGGGAGAAGGGGAGGGGGGGGCGGGGGGGACGGAGGGGGGGGAGGGGGGGGAGAGAGGGGUAGUGAGGGAGGGUGGAGCGGGGGUGGAGGGAGAGGGGAAGGAGGGGGAGGGUAAGAGGGAGAAGAGCAGGAGAAGAGGGGGGGGGGGGGAGGGCGGAGGGAGGAGGGAGAGGGGGGAGAGGGGGGGAGGGGUGGAGGGGGAGGAGAGGGGGGCGGGGAGAUGGGGGGAGGAGGUAGAAGGAGGGGAGGGGAGGAGGAGGGAGGGAGAGGGGGAAGAGGAGGGGGAGGGGGGGAGGGGGGGAGGAGGGGGAGGAGAGCGGGGGAUGGGGGGAGGAGAGGGGAGGGGGGGGAGGGAGGAGGGGGGAGGGAUGGUGGAGCGGACAGGGGGGAGGGAGG
rnacentral:rRNA from 1 species